AAAUCUCAGUGAGACCAGAGGCAUGGCUAGCUAUCGAUAGCACUUUUCAACUCUGCGUUCAGCUGUAUAUCGAUAUAUUGCAACGAUGUCAACGUCCCAGCGUAUCAUAUGAACAAUCCAACACUAUUUCAUACUGUAACUAUAGCAAACAGGCAGCACACCGCAAUCGCUUGCAACGGGAAGCAAACGUAAUUUUUUUAAUACACACAAACACAAUCGACACACACAUACAUAUAUACUGGCGUACUUAGGUACAGUGAAUUUUGAAUUAGUGUUUUGUGCUCGUGUGUGCAUACAUAUUGGCAAAUAUAAAUUAGAACAACAAUAAAGAGCAUAAGAAAAACACGUACGCACGUCACGCGGACGACGACGACGAUAACGCACGGAAACAAAAAAAAAAAAAGAAUUGAAAAGAAGACACCGCAGUAAGAGCGUAAAUUUCUAAGUUGUUAACAAGAAAGCUAAAGCUUUACAAAAAAAAAAAAAAAAAAAACCAUGUCAGCCGCCGAAGUUGAGACACAGCCGCAGCAGGAGACGACGAACGGCACCAGCAAAUAUGAUGUGCCCGAGAUCGAAUUGAUCAUUAAGGCCUCGGCCAUUGC